UGUUUUGUCCUAGAUCAGAUUUUACAAAUUUGAUACAGUACGGCAUCAAAAUUGAAAAUAUAUUUGAUAUGCAGGCUUGCGUUCAGUGUGUAACUGCUGUGGAAAACGACGAGACUGGCAACCUUGUGAUGAAUGGAAGUAAGCCUGCAUUAAAUGAAAUAUGUAAAAUGUAUAACUUACCAUUACAGUUUCACGACAAUAUUCCUGUGUCUGUAUCUAGUAUUUUAUACUUAAUGGAUAUUAACACAUAUUUAACAGGACGAAAUGG